UACACUCCUACGGGAGGCAGCAGUGGGGAAUUUUGGACAAUGGGGGCAACCCUGAUCCAGCAAUGCCGCGUGAGUGAAGAAGGCCUUCGGGUUGUAAAGCUCUUUUGUCAGGGAAGAAACGGUGGUGGCGAAUAACUACUACUAAUGACGGUACCUGAAGAAUAAGCACCGGCUAACUACGUGCCAGCAGCCGCGGUAAUACGUAGGGUGCAAGCGUUAAUCGGAAUUACUGGGCGUAAAGCGUGCGCAGGCGGUUGUGUAAGUCAGAUGUGAAAUCCCCGGGCUCAACCUGGGAAUUGCAUUUGAGACUGCACGGCUAGAGUGUGUCAGAGGGGGGUAGAAUUCCACGUGUAGCAGUGAAAUGCGUAGAUAUGUGGAGGAAUACCGAUGGCGAAGGCAGCCCCCUGGGAUAACACUGACGCUCAUGCACGAAAGCGUGGGGAGCAAACAGGAUUAGAUACCCCAGUAGUCCCAUG
rnacentral:rRNA from 1 species